UGCAUUAGGGAGUAAGGUUGGGAGAUUAUGUGCAGCCUUGAUGUCCUUACAUACUCCAACCUCGUGAGAGAAUUCUAUAGUAACUUGAGAUAAGAAGCAGAGAGUAUCAAGUCUUUGGUGAAGGUCACCCUUAUAUUAUUGAGUGAGUAGAGACUAGCCAGGAUCCUUCAGAAGCCUCGAUAGAGAGUGGCUCCAAGCAAGUUUUAAAUAAAGAAGCCAGAUUGUAAUGAGU
rnacentral:lncRNA from 1 species